ensembl:lncRNA
CACGGUCCCUGCCCUCCUGGAACUUCCACUCUAGAAGGAGGCAGACAACCCAGCAUGCUACGAGUUCUGAAAGGGGAAGUACUGGGCCCCAGGAAGCAGAGAAGAGAAUCCCGUAUCCCAGACUCGCGGGGUUGGGAGCGACUCCCGGGAAGAAGCAGCGUGUCACCUAAGCCCUGGAACAGCAGGCAUCUGCCUGGGGCGGGCUGGGGGGCGCCUUCCCGAGAGCAACACGCGGGAGGGUCAGCUGGUGAGGGAACAGAGUGAACGGAGCCGGAAGAUGGCCAGUGUAGUGAACCAAGAAGGUUUCCCGGGGCGGCAGGGAGCAGAAUGAGCAAUAAAGCGAGGAGCGGCCACGGUGGCUUCCAGGGGAGCUGCCCGUUCCUGGACCCGAGGAGAAAACUGGGACAGACGUGCAUGAGCAGACACCCCCCUCUGGUGGCCGAAAGAGGUCCUGCUCCUGAGGCCGCCAGGGCGGGGUCCACAAGACACAGGCCGGUUCCCACCUUCUCUUGGUUCCCAUUCUCGGCUCCCAGGUGAAAGGAAGUCGGGCUGCAGGGAGGUUCCCUACCUCUUUUUUUAGGUUUUAGAGAAACCUGAAAAAUGGAGAAAAUGUAUAUAUAUGCUUAGGAAAAAAUGCUAGAAAGACACUCCAUGUUACCCGUGAUUCUGGAAUAGGUGACUAGAUUUUUUUCAUUUUGUUUACAUGUAUUUUAAAAGUGUCUGUUAUGGACAUGCAUUACGCUUGUUGAGAAGAGAAAAAAUGUAUUAUGUUUCUUACAAAAGAGCAGAAGUGACAGAAAAGUGGCCUAAGAAGGGACUAAGGUGGAGGCCAGGUGGCUGAUGUGGGAGCUGAGUGGCCUGGUGACGAGUGGCUGAGCGGGCCAGCUCCCUUGCCCUUCGGCACCUGGGGAGCACACACCUGGUGGUGAUGAAGCCACGCAGAGAAGGCCUGUGUUUGGGGACCGUGUCUAGCUGUGUCCUUCGUGCCCCUCAGCUCACACACACCAGCUUCCCUGCUCAGGGCCAUGGUGGUCCCGCCUCUCUCCUUUUCUCAUCAAAGUAACAGCUUCCUGACCUGUCACCGCUCACACCUGAGGCUUCUCUUCCGCGUGGGCUCCGAUGCUGAACGAGGGCUGUGUCUGCUCGACCACAGCCACACGUGUGACAUCACUGUGGCCUUUGCCCGGACGUCUUUUCUAAUCUGGAACCAGGAGCUCACCUGGCCUGCAGGCUUGUCACUUGUCACCUUCAUGGCUUGUCUCUUCUCUCUCCUGCUUGAAACUCCUCUCUUGGGCAGGAUGGCUGCUCAGCCUGCUCUCUGGGAGGUUCCCUGAGGCAGCCCAAGGGCCUGGAACAUUCUGCGGGCCUCCCAGCUCUGGCGCCUGCAGAGCUUCCCUGGAGUCUGCUUGAGUCACUGGGGAGGCCUUCCUUCAGCAAGUUCCUGAUCUGAGCUGAAGCCGUCCUCAGUCCUGAGGUCACCAUCGGAACCCAGACGGAGAGAAUCCAAAUAUUAUUGCUGUGCAAAGGUGGCUGUGGAGAUAAAACCCCUGCCGAUCACAGGGGACCCAUGACAUGAACGGCGGCAUGUGACACCACGAUGAAAAAUGAGGCUGUAAAAGAAUUUCAUGAUCAUAUAUAUUUCUACAGUAGCUUAUAAAAUAGUAUAUAUACGAUGAGGAAACUGAGGCUCAGAGAAGUUCAAGGACUUGCCCCAAAUGGCACAGCUAGUACGCAGCGGAGGCAGGACCCCAAUCCAGUUGGUUCCAGUGCCCGUCUCGCUGCUCUGUGCUGCUCAGCUGUCCCUCACGAGCACGGGCCACAAGGCAGGGGCCAAGGAGCAUGUUACAAACACUUAACUCGUAGGGCCCAGACUGACUGAUUAGAACAGAUGCUGGUCUCACCUGGAGACCUCUGGUGGGACCUGGUGAUAACCAUUAAAGGGUGGACCCUGGGAAGGUCUUGAGGAUCGGGGGCAUCACCGGGUGGCCAAAGGGCUGGCAGGGCACUCAGGGACAGAGCGGCAGCUGCUUACCAACCAGUCUAGAAGCGUUUCAAUACUUUCACAACCCGUCCAUCCGUGCUGGUGGCACCAGAUGAAUGUCAUCCCUGCCUUGGCCUCCCCGCCUUCUGUGUCCCAUGGAUCCCAACAGUGACAGGAGAUGCUAGAAGUUGUGAGUGUGUCACUUAUUUCGGGGAGCUCUUCAGUCAAACUACACUCCCAAGAGAAGGGACCUGAUGCUCCCCGACUAGGUGUCCACGGACACGUCCAAAUCUGGGAGGUCAACUCUUGGCCCCCGGUGCUCACGCAAGGCCAGGCUGGCACUGCUGAUCUAAAACAGCACCCCCUAGUAGGGGAUAUUUGGCUUUGCAAGGAGCGUUACAGUCCUGUUACAAAGGAAGGUACUGAGUUCUGAGAAUUUACAGCAACAGAAACAGCGAUGGAACCACUCCUCUCUGAGGGAGAGACAGCGGCGCGUCCAGCCCCUCCACCCUGCCGGCUGCCCCCUCCCGCUGGGGAGAUGCCUCAUUGAGCCUGUUCUCCUGAUUCCCAACUGCCUGCCUUGCCCUGGAGCAGGGCCCCUCCAUAGACCCAACAAGGUGACUUGAUCUCCUGGGUUCCCUCCAAACGCUGAGUACAGACUACAUGGAGGGAAGAAGACAAGAUCAUCUCAUUGUCAAGAAAGGUCUCUGUGAGCCACACCAUGGAGCGUGGUUUGGCCAAAAAGCUACCACACCACAGGGACGCUCAGCUCUGGCAGGGGCCCCUGUGGAUGACUGAGACGACGGAGGGGUUCCAUUCUGUUUCUUGUCCUCCAAUGACCUCAGUACCUCUCUGCAUUCCACACUUAUGGUCUCAUGCUAGUUCAAUGAUCACACUCGGCUCCCAGCACAGAUCUGUAAGCUGUGAUGUUCUGUCCUGCUUUUCAG